rnacentral:rRNA from 1 species
UACGUAGGGCGCAAGCGUUUAUCCGGAAUUAUUGGGCGUAAAGAGCUCGUAGGCGGUGUGUCGCGUCGGCCGUGAAAACCUGCAGCUUAACUGUGGGCUUGCGGUCGAUACGGGCAUCACUGGAGUUCGGCAGGGGAGACUGGAAUUCCUGGUGUAGCGGUGAAAUGCGCAGAUAUCAGGAGGAACACCGGUGGCGAAGGCGGGUCUCUGGGCCGAUGACUGACGCUGAGGAGCGAAAGCGUGGGGAGCGAACAGG